GGUAUCUUGGAGUUAGCGUUAGCCGCUAUGUUACUGGUAAGGUAAGUCGGAUUGUUGGUCGGGUAGCUGUGGGGUACUGUGGACGGUCCCGUUUACUUCGUAUUUAUUACCAUCCCAGUGUCUGGUGUUGUGUCGGGUGCCCCCGGAGCAUGUGUGGUGUCGCUCCUAGGAUGUGACCGCUGCGUAGGUAAUCGGCGUGGAGUCUCGGGGAGUGAAUGAUGUGGCCUUGCCCAGUGUCCUGGUAUGGGUUGAAGGAGUAUCGUUGGUUAACUCCGCCUGGGUGAGGGAUUCAAGUGGCAGGCCCAGAGUCUGCAG